AAUGGUUAGGGUUCUAAGUUGCUAUUCAUUUCUUUCAACAGCUUCUUUCUGUCCGUCUCCAUUAUCAAAUCUCUGCGAAAAUUGCGGUUCACUAAAGAAUGAGAGAUUGAGUGAAAGAAAUCGCAAACAUAUCUUUAUAAGAUUGCAUAGUUCGUCGGUAUGGUUUUUCUUGUGAAGAUUUUGGAGCUUAGACUGAUUUGUUUGGUUAAUGAAUAUGGUGGUUUUCUUACAAGAGAUUAACACAAUGUUCGGAAACAUAAUGAGGAAUUGGAUGAACGGGUUAGAAAUGGAAGUUAGGGUUUGAAUCUGGUGCUAGCUGUAGAUGGGAAAACAAGUCCUGAGAGAGAUGGAGGCGGGUCUGGUAGUGUUGAUGAGAGGGGUUGCUGUUGAAGCUGUAUGUGGAGAAAUUGCAGAGAAACAAUGGGUCUUGGGGUUUUCUGGUGGUUGUGCUACACAAUGGUUUAUGAAUCUGGUGAUGGGGAUGGAGUUGCAAUACAGCUGAAGGUAAAGCCAAAAUGAAUGGUUUCUGUAUAGGGUUUUUGAUGGAAUUGAUUUGAUGUUGUUGUUGAUGAUUGAAAGAAAGAAAAGAUGAACUGAAAUACUGAAGUUGGUGGUGUUAAUGUGGUUGGAGGUGGUGAUGUUCUUUGAGCUAUUGAAGUAUGCUAGUGAUAGAAAGAGCAGGUUUUGGUGGUUGGAGUUGUGAGAGAUUCAAAUGGUCCUAUUGAGUCAGUUGAAUUCAGGGACAAAGAUGGUUGUUAUGUGGUGUUUGAUGCAGAAACUGAGAUGGUGGUGUUGUGUAGAUGCAAUUGCAGGAGAUAGAGUUGGGGUGUGGAGAAUCAGUUGCUCUCUGAUUCGAAUUGUAGGUUGGAAGAGAGCUCACACGGCAGGAAAAUGGUUUGUGUUUGUGUGUUUUGGGGGAAUGGGUUUGUGUCUGAUUUGAAAUUGCAUGCUACCAAGGUCUGUGUGGUUAUGCUUUGAGAUUCCAAGAGUUUGGGGUGAACAUAUGGCUGAAAAAGUAGCUGAAGAGAAGUUAGCUUAUGGCAUCUAUCAUCCAUAACACCAGUACUUCUUUCCCUCUUGCAAAACACCGCAGCUAGCAAAACCCCAACACAACACUACUGCCAGUUGCAAGGUUGCAUCAUCACCUGUUAGCAAAACCCCAACACACCACUAGUCCACCUGCAGCUUAGUUUGACAACUACAAAUCUUCACCGGCUUGCGGGGCAAACUGCAGUUGGUAGCCAGGCCACGUCAUCCGCUGCCAUGUGUUAGAGUUGGUAUAAUUCAUCCGCUGCCAUGUGUAUGAGUUGGUACACGUCAUCAGCUGCCACAUGUGAUAACUGAACUAUGGUUGACAAUAGCUUGAGUUAAAAUGAGGGUAUUUUGGAGAUAAGUAACAGCUUUUUUUUCCCAAAUUGUUAUGUCGGACGGAACAUGAUCAUUUUGUAAACUAAUUACAAAAGUGUGACCUUUUUGUAAAUGAAUUAUAAAAAGUAGGACCAUUUUGUGAUUGGUCUUUUAAUUUAAAACCAACCUAAUAACCA